rnacentral:rRNA from 1 species
GACGAACGCUGGCGGCGUGCUUAACACAUGCAAGUCGAACGGAAAGGCCCUGCUUUUGUGGGGUGCUCGAGUGGCGAACGGGUGAGUAACACGUGAGUAACCUGCCCUUGACUUUGGGAUAACUUCAGGAAACUGGGGCUAAUACCGGAUAGGAGCUCCUGCUGCAUGGUGGGGGUUGGAAAGUUUCGGCGGUUGGGGAUGGACUCGCGGCUUAUCAGCUUGUUGGUGGGGUAGUGGCUUACCAAGGCUUUGACGGGUAGCCGGCCUGAGAGGGUGACCGGCCACAUUGGGACUGAGAUACGGCCCAGACUCCUACGGGAGGCAGCAGUGGGGAAUAUUGCACAAUGGGCGGAAGCCUGAUGCAGCAACGCCGCGUGCGGGAUGACGGCCUUCGGGUUGUAAACCGCUUUCGCCUGUGACGAAGCGUGAGUGACGGUAAUGGGAAAAGAAGCACCGGCUAACUACGUGCCAGCAGCCGCGGUGAUACGUAGGGUGCGAGCGUUGUCCGGAUUUAUUGGGCGUAAAGGGCUCGUAGGUGGUUGAUCGCGUCGGAAGUGUAAUCUUGGGGCUUAACCCUGAGCGUGCUUUCGAUACGGGUUGACUUGAGGAAGGUAGGGGAGAAUGGAAUUCCUGGUGGAGCGGUGGAAUGCGCAGAUAUCAGGAGGAACACCAGUGGCGAAGGCGGUUCUCUGGGCCUUUCCUGACGCUGAGGAGCGAAAGCGUGGGGAGCGAACAGGCUUAGAUACCCUGGUAGUCCACGCUGUAAACGGUGGGUACUAGGUGUGGGGUCCAUUCCACGGGUUCCGUGCCGUAGCUAACGCUUUAAGUACCCCGCCUGGGGAGUACGGCCGCAAGGCUAAAACUCAAAGGAAUUGACGGGGCCCCGCACAAGCGGCGGAGCAUGCGGAUUAAUUCGAUGCAACGCGUAGAACCUUACCUGGGUUUGACAUGGAUCGGGAGCGCUCAGAGAUGGGUGUGCCUCUUUUGGGGUCGGUUCACAGGUGGUGCAUGGCUGUCGUCAGCUCGUGUCGUGAGAUGUUGGGUUAAGUCCCGCAACGAGCGCAGCCCUUGUUCACUGUUGCCAGCACGUUAUGGUGGGGACUCAGUGGAGACCGCCGGGGUCAACUCGGAGGAAGGUGGGGAUGACGUCAAGUCAUCAUGCCCCUUAUGUCCAGGGCUUCACGCAUGCUACAAUGGCUGGUACAGAGAGUGGCGAGCCUGUGAGGGUGAGCGAAUCUCGGAAAGCCGGUCUUAGUUCGGAUUGGGGUCUGCAACUCGACCUCAUGAAGUCGGAGUCGCUAGUAAUCGCAGAUCAGCAACGCUGCGGUGAAUACGUUCCCGGG